CUCUGCCGGGGUCCUAAUGCCAGCACUCCAGGGGCAUGGACGGUGACUUUUCAAACACCAGCAAGAAAAUCACUGAGAGAUCAAGUUAAAAGAAAAGUUUAAUCGGGCAACUGUGCCCCUUUUGGCAUUCUGGAUUUACAACAGUGUCCAAAAAACGGCAAAAAUGGUCUGAAGACAAGCUUCUACUGCACAAUCCUGCUUUAGAAACUAAAAGGACAAUAGGAAUGCAGGGAUACUUCAGAGAUACUGCGGGUUUGCUUCCAGACCACUGCAACAAAGAGAAUGCAAUAAAGUCAAAUGAACUUUUUGGUUUCUUAGUGCAUGUAAGUUAUGUUUACAUUCUACUGUAUGUCAUUAUACAUAAUUGUGUAAUAGCAUUGUCUAAAAAAAGUACAUAUCUUUAAUUAAAAAAUGCUUUCUUGCUAAAAACUGCUAACCAUCA